CCUACGGGAGGCAGCAGUGGGGAAUAUUGCACAAUGGGGGAAACCCUGAUGCAGCGACGCCGCGUGAGCGAUGAAGUAUUUCGGAUUGUAAACUCCUUUUGUUAGAGAAGAUAAUGACGGUAUCUAACGAAUAAGCACCGGCUAACUCCGUGCCAGCAGCCGCGGUAAUACGGAGGGUGCAAGCGUUACUCGGAAUCACUGGGCGUAAAGAGAGCGUAGGCGGGAUAGCAAGUCAGAUGUGAAAUCCUAUGGCUUAACCAUAGAACUGCAUUUGAAACUGUUAUUCUAGAGUAUGGGAGAGGUAGGUGGAAUUCUUGGUGUAGGGGUAAAAUCCGUAGAGAUCAAGAGGAAUACUCAUUGCGAAGGCGACCUGCUAGAACAUAACUGACGCUGAUGCGCGAAAGCGUGGGGAGCAAACAGGAUUAGAUACCCGAGUAGUC
rnacentral:rRNA from 1 species